rnacentral:tRNA from 1 species
GCGGAUGUAGCCAAGUGGAUAAAGGCGGUGGAUUGUGAAUCC